rnacentral:rRNA from 1 species
ACGGAGGAUCCAAGCGUUAUCCGGAUUUAUUGGGUUUAAAGGGUGCGCAGGCGGACUAAUAAGUCAGUGGUGAAAUCUACAUGCUUAACCUGUAAUGUGCCAUUGAUACUGGUAGACUAGUAUGCAAAUGACGUAGAUGGAAUGUGUGAUGUAGGGGUGAAAUGCUUAGAUAUAACACAGAACACCGAUGGUGAAGGCAGGUUACGAGUUUGUUAUAGACGCUGAGGCACGAAAGCGUGGGGAUCAAACAG